rnacentral:tRNA from 1 species
GGAUUGUGGCUCAGCAGUAGAGUGCUCAUCUAGCAUGGGCGAGACCUGGGUUCGAUCCUCAGCACCA